rnacentral:rRNA from 1 species
GACGUAGGGCGCAAGCGUUGUCCGGAUUUAUUGGGCGUAAAGAGCUCGUAGGCGGCUUGCCACGUCUGCCGUGAAAACCAGCAGCUUAACUGUUGGCUUGCGGUUGAUACGGGUUGGCUGGAGUUCGGUAGGGGAGACUGGAAUUCCUGGUGUAGCGGUGAAAUGCGCAGAUAUCAGGAGGAACACCGGUGGCGAAGGCGGGUCUCUGGACAGUUCCUGACACUGAGACACGAAGGCCAGGGGAGCAAACGGG